CGCAAGCCUGAUGCAGCCAUGCCGCGGUGUAUGAAGAAGGCCUUCGGGGUUGUAAAGUACUUUCAGCAGUGAGGAAGGUGGGUAUGUUAAUAGCAUACUCAUUUGACGUUAGCUGCAGAAGAAGCACCGGCUAACUCCGUGCCAGCAGCCGCGGUAAUACGGAGGGUGCGAGCGUUAAUCGGAAUUACUGGGCGUAAAGCGCAUGCAGGUGGUUUGUUAAGUCAGAUGUGAAAGCCCGGGGCUCAACCUCGGAAUUGCAUUUGAAACUGGCAAACUAGAGUACUGUAGAGGGGGUAGAAUUUCAGGUGUAGCGGUGAAAUGCGUAGAGAUCUGAAGGAAUACCGGUGGCGAAGGCGGCCCCCUGGACAGAUACUGACACUCAGAUGCGAAAGCGUGGGGAGCAAACAGGAUUAGAUACCCUGGUAG
rnacentral:rRNA from 1 species